AGUGAACGCUGGCGGCAGGCCUAACACAUGCAAGUCGAACGGCAGCACAGCAGUAGCAAUACUGUGGGUGGCGAGUGGCGGACGGGUGAGGAAUACAUCGGGAUCUACCCUGUCGUGGGGGAUAACGUAGGGAAACUUACGCUAAUACCGCAUACGACCUGAGGGUGAAAGCGGCGGACCGCAAGGCGUCGCGCGAUUGGAUGAACCGAUGUCCGAUUAGCUAGUUGGCGGGGUAAGAGCCCACCAAGGCGACGAUCGGUAGCUGGUCUGCGAGGACGACAAGCCACACUGGAACUGAGACACGGUCCAGACUCCUACGGGAGGCAGCAGUGGGGAAUAUUGGACAAUGGGCGCAAGCCUGAUCCAGCCAUGCCGCGUGGGUGAAGAAGGCCUUCGGGUUGUAAAGCCCUUUUGUCCGGAAAGAAAAGCGCUCGGUUAAUACCCGGGUGUUCUGACGGUACCGGAAGAAUAAGCACCGGCUAACUUCGUGCCAGCCGCCGCAGUAACAC
rnacentral:rRNA from 1 species